AACGAACGCUGGCGGCAUGCCUAACACAUGCAAGUCGAACGAGACCUUCGGGUCUAGUGGCGCACGGGUGCGUAACGCGUGGGAACCUGCCUUUAGGUUCGGAAUAACUCAGAGAAAUUUGAGCUAAUACCGGAUAAUGUCUUCGGACCAAAGAUUUAUCGCCUUUAGAUGGGCCCGCGUUGGAUUAGCUAGUUGGUGGGGUAAAGGCCUACCAAGGCGACGAUCCAUAGCUGGUCUGAGAGGAUGAUCAGCCACACUGGGACUGAGACACGGCCCAGACUCCUACGGGAGGCAGCAGUGGGGAAUAUUGGACAAUGGGCGAAAGCCUGAUCCAGCAAUGCCGCGUGAGUGAUGUAGGCCUUAGGGUUGUAAAGCUCUUUACCCGUAGAUGAUAAUGACAGUAUCGGGAGAAUAAGCUCCGGCUAACUCCGUGCCAGCAGCCGCGGUAAU
rnacentral:rRNA from 1 species